GCCUGGCUGGCUCAGUCAAAAGAGCAUCAGACUCUUGAUCUCAGAGUUGUGAGUUUGAGCCCCAUGUUGGGUG
rnacentral:tRNA from 1 species